rnacentral:rRNA from 1 species
UACAGAGGUGGCAAGCGUUGUUCGGAAUUACUGGGCGUAAAGGGCUCGUAGGCGGCCAACUAAGUCAGACGUGAAAUCCCUCAGCUUAACUGGGGAACUGCGUCUGAUACUGGAUGGCUUGGAUCCGGGAGAGGGAUGCGGAAUUCCAGGUGUAGCGGUGAAAUGCGUAGAUAUCUGGAGGAACACCGGGUGGCGAAGGCGGCAUCCUGGACCGGUAUUGGACGCUGAGGAGCGAAAGCCAGGGGAGCAAACGGG